UUUCCUACGGGGGGCUGCAGUAGGGAAUCUUCCGCAAUGGACGAAAGUCUGACGGAGCAACGCCGCGUGAGUGAAGAAGGUUUUCGGAUCGUAAAACUCUGUUGUCAGAGAAGAACAAGUCGGAGAGUAACUGCUCCGGCCUUGACGGUAUCUGACCAGAAAGCCACGGCUAACUACGUGCCAGCAGCCGCGGUAAUACGUAGGUGGCAAGCGUUGUCCGGAUUUAUUGGGCGUAAAGCGAGCGCAGGCGGUUCCUUAAGUCUGAUGUGAAAGCCCACGGCUCAACCGUGGAAGGUCAUUGGAAACUGGGGAACUUGAGUGCAGAAGAGGAGAGUGGAAUUCCAUGUGUAGCGGUGAAAUGCGUAGAUAUAUGGAGGAACACCAGUGGCGAAGGCGACUCUCUGGUCUGUAACUGACGCUGAGGCUCGAAAGCGUGGGGAGCAAACAGGAUUAGAUACCCUAGUAGUC
rnacentral:rRNA from 1 species